rnacentral:rRNA from 1 species
UUUAUGGAGAGUUUGAUCCUGGCUCAGGAUGAACGCUGGCGGCGUGCCUAAUACAUGCAAGUCGAGCGAACGGACGAGAAGCUUGCUUCUCUGAUGUUAGCGGCGGACGGGUGAGUAACACGUGGAUAACCUACCUAUAAGACUGGGAUAACUUCGGGAAACCGGAGCUAAUACCGGAUAAUAUUUUGAACCGCAUGGUUCAAAAGUGAAAGACGGUCUUGCUGUCACUUAUAGAUGGAUCCGCGCUGCAUUAGCUAGUUGGUAAGGUAACGGCUUACCAAGGCAACGAUGCAUAGCCGACCUGAGAGGGUGAUCGGCCACACUGGAACUGAGACACGGUCCAGACUCCUACGGGAGGCAGCAGUAGGGAAUCUUCCGCAAUGGGCGAAAGCCUGACGGAGCAACGCCGCGUGAGUGAUGAAGGUCUUCGGAUCGUAAAACUCUGUUAUUAGGGAAGAACAUAUGUGUAAGUAACUGUGCACAUCUUGACGGUACCUAAUCAGAAAGCCACGGCUAACUACGUGCCAGCAGCCGCGGUAAUACGUAGGUGGCAAGCGUUAUCCGGAAUUAUUGGGCGUAAAGCGCGCGUAGGCGGUUUUUUAAGUCUGAUGUGAAAGCCCACGGCUCAACCGUGGAGGGUCAUUGGAAACUGGAAAACUUGAGUGCAGAAGAGGAAAGUGGAAUUCCAUGUGUAGCGGUGAAAUGCGCAGAGAUAUGGAGGAACACCAGUGGCGAAGGCGACUUUCUGGUCUGUAACUGACGCUGAUGUGCGAAAGCGUGGGGAUCAAACAGGAUUAGAUACCCUGGUAGUCCACGCCGUAAACGAUGAGUGCUAAGUGUUAGGGGGUUUCCGCCCCUUAGUGCUGCAGCUAACGCAUUAAGCACUCCGCCUGGGGAGUACGACCGCAAGGUUGAAACUCAAAGGAAUUGACGGGGACCCGCACAAGCGGUGGAGCAUGUGGUUUAAUUCGAAGCAACGCGAAGAACCUUACCAAAUCUUGACAUCCUUUGACAACUCUAGAGAUAGAGCCUUCCCCUUCGGGGGACAAAGUGACAGGUGGUGCAUGGUUGUCGUCAGCUCGUGUCGUGAGAUGUUGGGUUAAGUCCCGCAACGAGCGCAACCCUUAAGCUUAGUUGCCAUCAUUAAGUUGGGCACUCUAAGUUGACUGCCGGUGACAAACCGGAGGAAGGUGGGGAUGACGUCAAAUCAUCAUGCCCCUUAUGAUUUGGGCUACACACGUGCUACAAUGGACAAUACAAAGGGCAGCGAAACUGCGAGGCCAAGCAAAUCCCAUAAAGUUGUUCUCAGUUCGGAUUGUAGUCUGCAACUCGACUACAUGAAGCUGGAAUCGCUAGUAAUCGUAGAUCAGCAUGCUACGGUGAAUACGUUCCCGGGUCUUGUACACACCGCCCGUCACACCACGAGAGUUUGUAACACCCGAAGCCGGUGGAGUAACCUUUUAGGAGCUAGCCGUCGAAGGUGGGACAAAUGAUUGGGGUGAAGUCGUAACAAGGUAGCCGUAUCGGAAGGUGCGGCUGGAUCACCUCCUUUCU